rnacentral:rRNA from 1 species
GACGAACGCUGGCGGCGUGCUUAACACAUGCAAGUCGAACGGAAAGGCCCUGCUUUUGUGGGGUUCUCGAGUGGCGAACGGGUGAGUAACACGUGAGUAACCUGCCCUUGACUUUGGGAUAACUUCAGGAAACUGGGGCUAAUACCGGAUAUGAGCUCCUGCUGCAUGGGGGGGGUUGGAAAGUUUCGGCGGUUGGGGCUGGACUCGCGGCUCAUCAGCUUGUUGGUGGGGUAGUGGCGUACAAAGGCUUUGACGGGUAGCCGGCCUGAGAGGGUGACCGGCCACAUUGGGACUGCGAUAGGGCGCAGACUCCUACGGUAGGCAGCAGUGGGGAAUAUUGCACAGUGGGCGGAAGCCUGAUGCAGCGACGCCGCGUGCGGGAUGCCGGCCUUCGGGUUGUAAACCGCUUUCGCCUGUGACGAAGCGUGAGUGACGGUAAUGGGUAAAGAAGCACCGGCUAACUACGUG